AAUAGAUACCCCGGUAGUCCACGCCGUAAACGAUGGAUACUAGCUGUUUGGUUGUAAGACUGAGUGGCUAAGCGAAAGUGAUAAGUAUCCCACCUGGGGAGUACGGGCGCAAGCCUGAAACUCAAAGGAAUUGACGGGGGCCCGCACAAGCGGUGGAGCAUGUGGUUUAAUUCGAUGAUACGCGAGGAACCUUACCAGGGCUUAAAUGUAGUUUGACCGCUUAGGAAACUAGGCUUUCGCAAGACAAAUUACAAGGUGCUGCAUGGUUGUCGUCAGCUCGUGCCGUGAGGUGUCAGGUUAAGUCCUAUAACGAGCGCAACCCCUGUUGUUAGUUGCCAGCGAGUCAUGUCGGGGAACUCUAGCAAGACUGCCAGUGUAAACUGUGAGGAAGGUGGGGAUGACGUCAAAUCAUCACGGCCCUUACGUCCUGGGCCACACACGUGCUACAAUGGACGGUACAGAGAGCAGCUACCUAGUGAUAGGAUGCGAAUCUAUAAAACCGUUCUCAGUUCGGAUCGGAGU
rnacentral:rRNA from 1 species